GGACCUUCUUUCUCUUGCGGCUCAGGAGGGGGCGUCACCCUGAGGAGGAAGGACCUGAAAAGAGAUGAGCGGUUCAGCGUUGCCCGGAACUCGACAGACAGCCACGGAGCAGUGCCGUGCAGGUGACCUAGCUAGCGCAGCUGACCAACAGAGAUCCCAGGCCCACACGGACUCUUCUCACCGAGGCCAUGGCCACUGAGCCAACAAGAUUCCACAGACUCCUACCCCAGGCUCGCCUCGCUGCAUGCGCCUGCCUUCCAGACCUCCCUGCUAACUCCGACGCAUCUCCACCCACACCAGGGCUGGCUACUGACCUUCCUGCCAUCCAUCAGGUCCCUUCUUUGGACCCUUGCCUCUCCAGCUCUUCUCACAAUCGGAAACAGACUUAGAGAGCUGAAGUGAUUUGUCCCAGCUCACACUGUGCGUGCUUUCCUCAUGUCACCCCCUGCUGCCCUCCAGUUCUCAGCAGAGUGCCUGUGUGGACUGCCCGCUCCCUGCCAACAGGUUCAAGAACACGAAGUAAGUGAUUUUCAAUGGGCUGUACAGACCAGGGUCCUGUAUCAGAAUCCCUGACCAGCUGCUACACACCAUAUGCGAAACCUGGAGCAAGUACCGUCAGGUCCCUUGACCCACAGGAUCCCCACCCUGGUGCCCUCCCAGAGGCUGGGUGUGCUGCCUGGCCAGGUCUGGGCUGGCAGGCAUGGAAGUUCUUUGCUGAAAGAUAAACAAGUAUCUGGGAAAGCCCCAUCACAAGAACGUUUUAAAGAGGUACUUGGUAAUUUCUGUACUUUUGUGAAGCUGAGUUAAGU